UGCGUAGGCGGUUUAAUAAGUCAGAGGUGAAAGCCCGCAGCUCAACUGUGGAAUUGCCUUUGAUACUGUUAGACUUGAAUCAGGUUGAGGUUGGCGGAAUGUGGCAUGUAGCGGUGAAAUGCAUAGAUAUGCCAUAGAACACCAAUUGCGAAGGCAGCUGACUAGACCUGUAUUGGCGCUGAGGCACGAAAGCGUGGGGAGCGAACAGGAUUAGAUACCCUGGUAGUCC
rnacentral:rRNA from 1 species